GUGAAUCAUCAAAUUUUUGAACGCAAAUUGCACUCUCCUCGGAGAGGAGGCCUGUUUGAGUGUCAGCCUAUGAAAAAUCGACAUCGUGGCUGGUUCGCGGUGUCGUUCGUCGGAAAUUGGGGCAUCUUAUAUCUUUUGUUUUUAAGCGACUUAAAAUUUUCUUUUUGGUUCCAUGAAUGUGUCUAAGAUUUAUUUCUUUACACUUUUAAGGUAUCGAUUUUUAUUAGACUUUACCAUCAGAUCG
rnacentral:misc_RNA from 1 species